CCUACGGGUGGCAGCAGUGGGGAAUAUUGCGCAAUGGGCGAAAGCCUGACGCAGCGACGCCGCGUGAGGGAUGAAGGUCUUCGGAUCGUAAACCUCUGUCAGCAGGGAAGAACGGUCACUGUGCUAAUCAGCAGUGAAUUGACGGUACCUGCAAAGGAAGCACCGGCUAACUCCGUGCCAGCAGCCGCGGUAAUACGGAGGGUGCGAGCGUUAAUCGGAAUUACUGGGCGUAAAGCGCGCGUAUGCGGUAUGUCACGUCAAGGGUGAAAUCCCCGCGGGCAACGUGGGAACUGCCUUUGAAGCUGGCAAACGGGAGUGUGUGAGAGGAUAGUGGAAAUACAGGUGGAGG
rnacentral:rRNA from 1 species